AGUGAACGCUGGCGGUAGGCCUAACACAUGCAAGUCGAACGGCAGCACAGUAAGAGCUUGCUCUUACGGGUGGCGAGUGGCGGACGGGUGAGGAAUACAUCGGAAUCUACUUUUUCGUGGGGGAUAACGUAGGGAAACUUACGCUAAUACCGCAUACGACCUACGGGUGAAAGCAGGGGAUCUUCGGACCUUGCGCGAUUGAAUGAGCCGAUGUCGGAUUAGCUAGUUGGCGGGGUAAUGGCCCACCAAGGCGACGAUCCGUAGCCCGUGUGAGAGGAUGAUCGGCCGCACUGGAACUGAGCCACGGUCCAGACUCCUGCGGUAGGGAGCAGUGGCGAAUAUUGGGCAAUGGGCGGGAGCCUGAUCCAGCCGGACCGCGUGGGUGAAGAAGGCCUUCGGGUUGUAAAGCCCUUUUGUUGGGAAAGAACAGCAGCAGGUUAAGACCCCGCGGUUCUGACGGUAACCAAUGAAUAAGCACCGGCUAACUACGUG
rnacentral:rRNA from 1 species